GUACCUACGGGAGGCAGCAGUGGGGAAUAUUGGGCAAUGGGCGCAAGCCUGACCCAGCAAUGCCGCGUGAAGGAAGAAGGCCCUCGGGUUGUAAACUUCUUUUAUCAGGGACGAAGGAUGUGACGGUACCUGAUGAAUAAGCUCCGGCUAACUACGUGCCAGCAGCCGCGGUAAUACGUAGGGAGCAAGCGUUAUCCGGAAUUACUGGGUGUAAAGGGAGCGCAGGCGGGACUGCAAGUUGGAUGUGAAAUACCGCAGCUUAACUGCGGAGCUGCAUCCAAAACUGUAGUUCUUGAGUGGAGUAG
rnacentral:rRNA from 1 species